UCGAUAUAUAUAUAUGUAUAGUUCCUUGCCAUAUUGAUCGUGUGAAUAGGGGAAAAGAGUGAAGCCAAAUAGACAUGUACACAUACAAACACACAAAAUAAAUAGAUGCUCAUACCAUCAAAAAUGUCAUAGAAUAUCAUACUCAUAAUUCAUAAAGUAUGCAGCUUUUUUUGUCAAAAUCUUAGACUAAAAUAAAAUAGUGCUCCCCAAAAGUCAGAAACUCUUCAAUUAAUGCUCUGCACUCUAUCAAACUUCUCAACAGUAUCAAAUCACAGGAUAUGUACACACACAAUCAUACUUACACUAUAGCUAGAUAUCAUACAUAUACAUCAUUUCUAUUAGUUUUUUCACACAAAUUUCUUAGUUUCUAACACUUACAUUAUUUCAAUGCCUUGUUGUCAUUCGAUAUUGCAAUAAAAAGAUUACCGAGUUCGAGUAUAAACUUAAUUAACUUCUACAUCAACUAGCCAAAAGCCAAUACCAAAUAAAUGAUCAAAUGUAGUAGUACCUGGAGAACAACGUGCCACAGUCGCACUUAUACUCACGAGUGCCACAAGUUUUCGCGUGCGCCUUCCAAUCAGAUUGAACAGCAUAUUUCUUAGAACACUUUUCGC
rnacentral:lncRNA from 1 species